rnacentral:rRNA from 1 species
UACGAAGGGGGCUAGCGUUGCUCGGAGUCACUGGGCGUAAAGCGCACGUAGGCGGUUUCUUAAGUCAGGGGUGAAAUCCUGGAGCUCAACUCCAGAACUGCCUUUGAUACUGGGAGACUUGAGUUCGGGAGAGGUGAGUGGAACUGCGAGUGUAGAGGUGAAAUUCGUAGAUAUUCGCAAGAACACCAGUGGCGAAGGCGGCUCACUGGCCCGAUACUGACGCUGAGGUGCGAAAGCGUGGGGAGCAAACAGG